rnacentral:tRNA from 1 species
GUAGCUCAAUUGGUAGAGCAACAUCCGGCGGUCGUUCACACGCCCACCCGUACCUCGUAGAGCGGGCCGGAGUCCUUCGGUUAUCUGGCACACAGCAGCAUUGCGGGUUCGAGUCCCGCCCCGG